UACCACCUGGCAAUGGGCAAAGAGACACCUUGUUGGUGAUGUUGUUCUUAGAUCAGUCAGAGGCAGAGCAGACGCUGUCCUUUGUUCAUCCUCGCUUGAUGCCUGGCUGAGUGGCCAAAGCUGUUUCAUGCCUAGGGCACAAUC
ensembl:snoRNA